GCAACUUAAUAACACUCUUUGUUUAUUAAUUUUAUUUUUAUUUUACAUAAAUAAAGUACUCAAGAUGUGUGGCAGAUGUUGGAAUCUCAACAUGAAGACGGUAAACUACUUGUUUGAGAUCCCAUCUAGACAUCCGGAGUAGC
rnacentral:lncRNA from 12 species